AUACGGAGGGGGCUAGCGUUGUUCGGAAUUACUGGGCGUAAAGCGCACGUAGGCGGAUUAAAAAGUUAGAGGUGAAAUCCCAGGGCUUAACCCUGGAACUGCCUUUAAAACUAGUAGUCUAGAGUUCGAGAGAGGUGAGUGGAAUUCCAAGUGUAGAGGUGAAAUUCGUAGAUAUUUGGAGGAACACCAGUGGCGAAGGCGGCUCACUGGCUCGAUACUGACGCUGAGGUGCGAAAGCGUGGGGAGCAAACAGGAUUAGAAACCCCGGUAGUCC
rnacentral:rRNA from 1 species